rnacentral:rRNA from 1 species
UACAGAGGGUGCAAGCGUUAAUCGGAUUUACUGGGCGUAAAGGGCGCGUAGGUGGUUGUUUAAGUGAGAUGUGAAAGCCCGGGCUCAACCUGGGAACUGGCAUCUUAUACUGGGCAACUGGAGUACAUGGAGAGGGUAGUGGAAUUUCCGGUGUAGCGGUGAAAUGCGUAGAUAUCGGAAGGAACACCAGUGGCGAAGGCGGCAUAC